rnacentral:rRNA from 1 species
UACGUAGGGGGCAAGCGUUGUCCGGAUUUAUUGGGCGUAAAGAGCUCGUAGGUGGUUCGGUAAGUCGGAUGUGAAAUCUCCAGGCUCAACCUGGAGGGGUCAUUCGAUACUGCCGUGACUAGAGGUCGGUAGGGGAGUGUGGAAUUCCUGGUGGAGCGGUGAAAUGCGCAGAUAUCAGGAGGAACACCGGUGGCGAAGGCGGUUCUCUGGGCAUUACCUGACGCUGAGGAGCGAAAGUGUGGGGAGCGAACAGG